rnacentral:piRNA from 1 species
UCUUAGUCCAGGUUGAGGCCAUUAUAU